rnacentral:rRNA from 1 species
CUUUACCAUGCAGUCGAACGGCAGCGCGGGGCAACCUGGCGGCGAGUGGCGAACGGGUGAGUAAUACAUCGGAACGUGCCCUGUGAUGGGGGAUAACUACGCGAAAGCGUAGCUAAUACCGCAUACGACCUAAGGGUGAAAGUGGGGGAUCGAAAGACCUCACGUCAUAGGAGCGGCCGAUGGCGGAUUAGCUAGUUGGUGAGGUAAAGGCUUACCAAGGCGACGAUCCGUAGCUGGUCUGAGAGGACGACCAGCCACACUGGGACUGAGACACGGCCCAGACUCCUACGGGAGGCAGCAGUGGGGAAUCUUGGACAAUGGGGGCAACCCUGAUCCAGCAAUGCCGCGUGUGGGAUGAAGGCCUUCGGGUUGUAAACCACUUUUGGCGGGGGCGAAAUAUCGAAUGAUAAUACCAUUCGGUGAUGACGGUACCCGCAGAAUAAGCACCGGCUAACUACGUGCCAGCAGCCCGGGGUAAU